UUGUGGUCCAAUUCAAAUACAAUUUUAUUCAAUAUAAACUUAAUCAAUUUUAAUUCGAUUUUAUUUUUAAAUUGAACUAAUCUAAUUUCAAUGUCCAAUUGCACUGUUCUGCAACAUUGUUCUGUACAAGGCUAAAUGUUGCCAGAAUUUGGGCCUCAUGAUCUAAAACACAGACGGCCUGUAGCCUGUGGAGAGUCUAAAACUUGCUUGGUGCGGCCUUGUAAGUGAGCUGACGUGUUUAAAAUGAAUGCUGACGGCUAUAGUUAGAACAGAACUAAAUCCCACAGCGUUUAGUUAACCCAUUCGCUUGACUUUAUUUUGAUGAACGGACUACCCUUAAGUGUCCCCUCGGGGACAUCCGAUAAAAUUGGAACGAUACAGAGAAGAUUAGCAUGGCCCCUGCGCAAGGAUGACACGCACAAAUCGAGAAAUGGUCCAAAUUUUUUUUUUUUUCCCAUUUGCAGUGAACCUUCCCUUCAAUGGCUUCUUCUCCUCUCAGAAGUUACUUUUCUACCCAUCUAUCGAGCGCUGCUUCAGUAAACUGGUCCAUUUGCAUAAAAAGGGGUUCCGGGACCAUGUUGCUUCAAUCCAAAAGCAAAUUUAAAUGCCAUUUUAGGUACUCUUAGACUUGAUUCCACUUAGGAAACAAAAAUCAUGGCAUUUGUUUAUAUACAAUUGGUUCCGACCGAGACUCGAAUUUGAGACCGCAUGGUCCUAGGGACAAAUCUAUUACCACUAAGCUAAAGCUCAUUGGUUAGGAAGCAUAUAUUCUGAAUAUUCCUAGAUUUUCCUCUUUUUGAGCCUAACAUCAAGGCUAUAUGUUCUCUUCUUGAGCCUAAACUUCAGGCUACAUCAUCACCGAAAUUCUUAAAUAAACCAGUCAAUGCAAAGAAGGUUUUUAAGCUUAGCAAAUGUUUUACAGAUUCUAACUUCAUAUGUAAUCCUGAGACAGGUGGUUUUUAUCGCUUAAUAUUUGUUGGUCAGGAAACAAAUGCACUUCUAAAACAUGGAUAAUAGUACCUAACUGACCUUCAAUGUAGCUAAAUUAAAUGUUCGUGACAAUGAGAAACACAACUACAAAAGCCUCUGUGGACAACAUUUGGUUCUGAUUGAGGCAAACAAAACUGAUGGGACUUAGGUUUGAACCUGCCUUGUGUUAUAGAAUGAUUCUGAGCUGAAACAGUGGCUUUGUUUGCAGGGUAAAAUGCUGAAUGAUUUAGCUUACUUGAGUCUCUGCAAUAUGAGGUCUCCAGAUCACGAUUUGUUAGCAUUCCCUGUCAUGAAUUCUGAAGUAUAGGUAGAGGUAGAGCCCUUUUGAGAGUUCAAGAACGGUUAGUGUGUGGACAUAUGAUUGACUAUUGUUGGAGUGGAGAUUUAAGUUGAUCAGGCCCUUCUUCCAGUAAAAACCCCUAGUUUGAGUUCUUGACUGAUGGUUCAAAUCCGCCAUUCACCAGCAAGUUGUCCACAUUUUUGCAUGUUAAAAUCUGUUGUUUAAUUUCUAGUUUGAAGGUGAUAUAACGAGCGUCCAGGCCUUUUUUUUUUUUUCUUGGGUUCCAUUUUGGAGCAAGGAUGGACUGGUGGUGGUUGAGGAGAUCAACAUCUGGAUUCUGGAGUAUUUCUUUUUGUACUCAUUUCUUUUGUUAUAUAGCAGAGUUGUUUGAAAUCGAUAGGUUCGUUUUGGAACAGCUUACCUGCAGUUGACAUACCCAGGAAGAGGAAGAAGAGCAGCUUUGAAUCAACCAUGAGAGAUGUUGAUUUGUGAAGAUUCCUCACAGUUAUUUGACUGCGACUCGAUAAUGCAGAAACGUUGAAAAAAAAAUUAUUAAGAGUGAUUGUUAAGAUAUGAUGAAUAAACUUCCUCGUGUUCUCUAAUUACUUAGGCUAGUAAAUUUUUUAGGCUUUGAAAGGAGAUGGGAUAAUUUCCAGUUAACAAGAUUGCUGAUGAUUGAUAAUGGAUUUUCAUCCUACUACAAGAAUAUACAUGCAAAACUCUUUUAGCA